GCUGCUAUAGCUCAGCCGUGGUAGAGCAGCUGGCUUGUAAUCAGCAGGUCCCCCGGGUUAAGAGUGACUCUUGGUGGCGGCG
rnacentral:tRNA from 1 species